rnacentral:lncRNA from 1 species
AUGCGCUCACUGCAGCCUGGGAAGGCUGCUCCAGGRCUGCAUCAGCCCUCAGCCGCCCUCACGCAUCCAAGAUUCCCAGUAUCUCUGACAGCUCCCCUGGGCUCCUGGAGGGCCYGCUCACAUGAGAGGUGCCCCGCAACACCGCCCUCACCCCGUGCAGGGCCGGCGGUGUGUGCGGGGCGGGCUGUGCCGAGCCGGGCCGGGCUGGGCCGAGCCGGGCCCGCUGGCGCCAGGCUGUGCCCCGCAGCUCCCAUCCCGCAGGUGCAGCUGCUGAAGGACCAGCUGGCGGCCGAGACGGCGGCGCGCAUCGAGGCGCAGGCGCGGGUGCGGCAGCUGCUGCUGACCAACCGGGACCUGCUGCAGCACGUCUCGCUGCUGGUGAGGCAGCUCAAGGAGCUGGAGGUGAAGGCGCAGCGCCGGCAGCCAGGUGAGGGACCCGGGACGGUAGCUCUGCCCCACCUGGGCGCCUCUGCCCCGGGGGGCCAGGGCCACCCUAUCACCCGGCUCRCACCCCCUGGGGAGCAGCCGGGCUGGAGGCCUCAAGCUUUUCACCCAUGCGUCGUGUCUUCUCCACCAGUYGACCGCUCCUUGCAGAACCUGUCCCUGGCCCAGUCGCUGUCUCUGAACCUGAAGAACCACUACAGCCUGGACAUCAACCUGCCGUCCACCUCCACCCCGGCCAGCAUCCUGGGCAGCCCCGUGGCCCCCGGCUCGCUCUCGGCCCUGGGCUCGGGGGAUUCCUACCUCAACCUCUUGAACCUGGAGAGGGGCGGCCCCUGCUACGACGGCAAGGAGGGGGACGAGUGCUUGGCCAUGCUGGAGGGGCAGGACGGGUUCAGCAGGCGCGUGGAGGGCUCCGAGGUCAGCGAGUUUGCUCUGCUCAACGGGAGCAGCCGGCAAAAGGCAGACGACGCCGAAAGCAGGGUGGAUGAGGACAGGCGGCAGCAGCCCAUUCCCAAGAUCAACCCCCCGCCACCCAUCCUACGCAAAAGGUCAAGCAAGACCUCCCCGAGCCUGGAGGUGGAAGCCAAGCCCGAGACCGCCAUCCACGUGAGCCUUCCCAGCCCCAGCUUGUCCAGCCUCACCAACAUCACUGCCAGCUCGCUCACCCUCUUGGACCCCGAGGCGAGGACUCCCGCCCAGAGCGCUGCCUCCAGCAUGGAGCUCGUCCCUGCUGGGACCUCCCAGCGCGCUCUCGGCAAGGACAGGACUGGAGAGAACGGACACAUGUCCCCCCUGUCCAGCAUCCAUGACGCUGCAACGGGUGAGGCCCUGGGCAAGGACCUAGCUGCCCUGGCCAGCCCCAUGGACAGCRCGCUGCCGUUUUCCCUGGCGGACGACACCUGCUUGCACAUCAGCUUCUCGGAAGAUGAGCUGCUUGAACCGGAGCUAGAUGCUGCUCUGGGACCCAGCAGGGUCCCCACUUAG